UACAGAGGAGCCAAGCGUUGUCCGGAUUGACUGGGCGUAAAGCGCACGUAGGCGGCUUCUUAAGUCAGGGGUGAAAUCCUGGAGCUCAACUCCAGAACUGCCUUUGAUACUGAGAAGCUUGAGUCCGGGAGAGGUGAGUGGAACUGCGAGUGUAGAGGUGAAAUUCGUAGAUAUUCGCAAGAACACCAGUGGCGAAGGCGGCUCACUGGCCCGGUACUGACGCUGAGGUGCGAAAGCGUGGGGAGCAAACAGG
rnacentral:rRNA from 1 species